UGUAACAGCCCGGCCCCGUACGACCGGCCCUGUUACCGCUCACAGCCCGUGACCUUCCUCUGGGCCCAGCCACUGUGAGCAGCUCUUAACAUCCCUUCACCCUCACGGGUUCCGGGCAGGAUUUGUCCCUCGGGGGAGCCAUUACGGCCCGCCCUAGCCCGAGUGGAUUUGGCCCAAUUCCUUCCUCUGGGAAUUAGGUCGCCUCCCCCACUGCUCGAACCCUUGACCUCCCACUUUAAGGGAAUAGUCUGGUGAGAGUGAGUACCAAUUGUGCCAUU
rnacentral:lncRNA from 1 species